GUGCGCCACCACGCCCGGCGGAACCAACUUCUUUAACAUCACAGGGAAGUUGGAGCACACUUAGCAUUCCCUUUGGAUGUAGACCUCUGCCUCCUCCUGAGUUCACAGUGGCCAUGAGAGCAGCAGAGACGUGGAGACAUGUCUGCAUGUUGACAUGACCCCAGCUCCCUGACUCCUCCUCCUCCUCCUCCUCCUCCUCCUCCUCCUCCUCCUCCUCUUCUCUCUCUCUCUCUCUCUCUCUCUCUCUCUCUCUCUCUCUCUCUCUCUCUCUCCCUUUUCCUCCCUCCAUCUCCCCACCCCUGCCCUGAGAAAUAGAUAAGAUUCUUUUGAUAUGGGCCAGGGAUCAAUCAAGGCUGGUUCGCUUUGAUUAGAGUAGAAGCUCACUCUGAAGGUAAUCUCUGAGCAGGUCACUGCAUUGGGAAGCCAGACAGUUUAAUUUCCUCCAAUGCUCUAAGGCUUGCAUGUCACCAUGAGACUGAUGCUGGAGGAGGCCCUCAGCCAUAGAGGAGGGAGACCAGAAGCAUAGCACCUUGAUGAACACAAUCUAAGAGCCACCAUUGAUUGAUUGAUUGAUUGAUUUGCCAGACUGCUCACUGUUCUCUGUAGGGAACAUGUUUAACUCCUACAUACUGUGAAAAAGACAGACACCUCCGUUUUCACCCAAGGAAACAAGCUUAGAGGUGUUGAGUGUCUCACCCAGGGUCAGAGAGCCCAGGCCUGGAGGCUGGGGAUGAGAGCACAGGCCUGGCUGUCUGUAAAGCAGGCACUUCCUCAGAACCCUCUGCUGCUUCCCAGCAGCCUUUGGCUCUCUCACACCCAGCUCCAUGGUGUGGAUCCUCAGUAGAAGUGAUGACAGGAAGGUAUAUAUGGGUUUAUCCUCAGUGCUUAUGAAGCUGAGCGAGCACCUUUAACAAGUGACCUUUGCUACUUCAUGUGACACAUUUUUAUGUUAUACUUCUUUCCUCAUUGAAGUCAUUGCUCUUUGGAGCUGGAAAUAGGCCAUGUUUUUAGAUGCAGCUAUCAGUUACAGGGUGUAAUUCUUAUACAAUAUUUAGUGAUGUUAAAGUCAUUUGAUAAUAAUUAAAACAAAAUACCACAGUUGCCCUGUCUAACCCCAAGCCACGCCCAUGAGGAAAAAAAAAAUUCUUUCCAAAGUUGUACUGUUACUUUCUUGUCCCCCAAAAGAGUAUAAUGUCACUUUUUAAAAUAAUUAUGGGAAAGUGCAUUUAAAAGCCAUAUGAAGUAGAUUUCAUUUCCUGAAAUAAAAUGUUAGUUGAUUUUCAAGUCCUUAUGUUGAUGAGCAAUGAAAGCUCACUAAACGAGAAAUACGCAGUUGGCCCAUGGCACACAUUUCAUGGAUAAACCAUUGCAUGCUGGGAAAUGGUUCUGCUCUGCAUCCUGACAACCCCAAGACUGGAUAUGUACGGUAGAUACUUAGUGAUCCAGUCUUAAGUAGAUUUCACAGUGUCCAAACUCAGACUUAAAAGGACUCGAGAUUAUGGGUAUGAGCACAUCCAAACAACAAGACUACAUUACAUCCUUUGGGUUUUUUCCUAGUAUUGUUUCCCUGUGUUUCCCUGGCUGACCUGGAGUUCACUGGGUAGACUAAGCUGGAUUCAAAUUUACAAAGCUCUUGCUUCUGCUCCCGGAGUGUUGGGAUUAUAGGCAUGAACUACCACACUACUAUAUUCAUGUUUUGAGGUGUUUUUUUUUAAAGAAUGUAUGUGGGUACACAUCUGUGGAAAUGUGUGCCUUGUGUGUGUGCACUUGAGGAAGGAAGACAGAAGAGGAUGCUGACGUGAAGCACCCAUCAUGGCCGCUGGGAACCAAACUCCAUUCCUCUAACAGAGCAGCAAAUGCUUUUAACUGCUGAACCAUCUCCCCAGCCCUACGUUCAUUUUGGAGUUUUUUGGUUUUUUAAACAUGAGAUUUAAAAAAAAAAUAGAUGAGGCUUUUGCCAUGUGAUUAUAUUUUCUCAUUUGAGCUUUUGAUAUCCAUCAUGGUGCCCAGCUUUUAAGGUAUGAAUGCUUUUUAAACUACAUUUGAAUUACCAUUUAGGGGUAUGUAUAGAGAAAAUUGUUAAAUCUGCUCUAAAAUGUCUACCAGAUAGCUUUCUGAUCAUCAUGUUAGUGAUAUAUACUUCCACCCCUAAAAUGGGAUAAUCAAUGACCUGUUUCCCAACUGCUACCAGUUGCCCUGGCAACAUUGUUAUCCUUUGAGAGACAGAGCAAUGACAGUUAUAUACAGUGUCUCAUUUGCCAGGCUAGACCCUGUUCCAUGCACUUUACCCAGGUUAGCUCUUUGUCUAUGUUAACUCCUCUUGGGACUGGAAGGUGGAAAUGAAAAAUAAUCUCACUGCUUUUUCAUAAUCAGCUAUAGGCCCCAGGUAAGUAGGCGUUGUAACCAUCGUGGGUCUUCCAUGUCUAUGACUUGCACAUCUGUGGAGUCCAUUAAUCACAGAUUGAAACUGUCCAGAAAUUAAAGCACGCCUCUUGGUAAGUGUUUUGUUUUCCUAGCCCAGUGUGGUUGGAUGGACUGGAAUGCUAGCACUGAGGUACUGUGGUUAUGAAAACUGCUGUCAGUUCAAGUCCAACCUGGUCUGCAUAGUGAGUGCUCAGUCAGGCAGGUCUAAAUAGUGAGACUCUACCUCACUAGUUGUCUUUGUUUUCUUUAAGACAGGACCUUGCUAGGUGGCCCUGGCUGGCCUGGAAAUAUUAGCAUCCAUCCCUCCAGCCUCUGCCUUCUUCUUGCUGAAAUUAUAUGUGCAUACCACCAGCCUUGUUUUGUUUUCUUGAGGCCAGGAAUAUAUUUGGUCCUAGAAAACAUGUUCAUCAUGCACAAGAUCAUGAGAUUGAUCCGUAGG
rnacentral:lncRNA from 1 species